rnacentral:rRNA from 1 species
CCCACAGGCCGUAAACCCAAGGUUUCCAGGGGAAGGUUCGUCCGCCCUGGGUUAGUCGGGACCUAAGCUGAGGCCGAAAGGCGUAGGUGAUGGACAACAGGUUGAUAUUCCUGUACUACCGAUAACCGUUUGAGAGAAGGGAUGACACAGUAGGAUAAGCUAAGCACACUGUUGGUUAUGUGUGCCCAAGCAUUGAGGCAGUCAAAGUAGGUAAAUCCGCUUUGAUAAUGCUGGGGUGUGAUGGGGAGCGAAAUUUAGUAGCGAAGUAGCUGAUUUCACACUGUCAAGAAAAGUCUCUAUCGAGGUUAAAGGUACCCGUACCGCAAACCGACACAGGUGGGUGAGGAGAGUAUCCUAAGGCCAGCGAGAGAACUGUUGUUAAGGAACUCGGCAAAAUGACCCCGUAACUUAGGGAUAAGGGGUGCCACCAUCAGGUGGCCGCAGAGAAUAGGCCCAAGCGACUGUUUACCAAAAACAUAGGUUUCUGCUAAGUCGCAAGACGAUGUAUAGGAGCUGACGCCUGCCCGGUGCUGGAAGGUUAAGGGGAUCUGUUAGAGCAAUCGAAGCAGUGAACUUAAGCCCCAGUAAACGGCGGCCGUAACUAUAACGGUCCUAAGGUAGCGAAAUUCCUUGUCGGGUAAGUUCCGACCCGCACGAAAGGCGUAACGAUUUGGGCACUGUCUCA